AUCAGAUAAAGGCAAACCUAUUGAAAAAUAGCGACGCAAAGUCACAGAUCUAAUGUUAAACCAACGAUGAUGGCUGGACUGCCAGA
rnacentral:ncRNA from 1 species